GCCGGCGAGCGGCGGACGGGUGAGUAAUGUCUGGGAAACUGCCUGAUGGAGGGGGAUAACUACUGGAAACGGUAGCUAAUACCGCAUAACGUCGCAAGACCAAAGAGGGGGACCUUCGGGCCUCUUGCCAUCAGAUGUGCCCAGAUGGGAUUAGCUAGUAGGUGGGGUAACGGCUCACCUAGGCGACGAUCCCUAGCUGGUCUGAGAGGAUGACCAGCCACACUGGAACUGAGACACGGUCCAGACUCCUACGGGAGGCAGCAGUGGGGAAUAUUGCACAAUGGGCGCAAGCCUGAUGCAGCCAUGCCGCGUGUAUGAAGAAGGCCUUCGGGUUGUAAAGUACUUUCAGCGGGGAGGAAGGCGGUGAGGUUAAUAACCUCAUCGAUUGACGUUACCCGCAGAAGAAGCACCGGCUAACUCCGUGCCAGCAGCCGCGGUAAUACGGAGGGUGCAAGCGUUAAUCGGAAUUACUGGGCGUAAAGCGCACGCAGGCGGUCUGUCAAGUCGGAUGUGAAAUCCCCGGGCUCAACCUGGGAACUGCAUUCGAAAC
rnacentral:rRNA from 1 species